GACGAACGCUGGCGGCGUGCUUAACACAUGCAAGUCGAACGGAAAGAGAUGAAAGAGCUUGCUCUUUUAUUAAUUUCAGUGGCAAACGGGUGAGUAACACGUAAACAACCUGCCUUAAGGAUGGGGAUAACAGACGGAAACGACUGCUAAUACCGAAUACGUUCUAAGCAUCGCAUGGUGCAUAGAAGAAAGGGUGGCCUCUACAAGAAAGCUAUCGCCUUAAGAGGGGUUUGCGACUGAUUAGGUAGUUGGUGAGGUAACGGCUCACCAAGCCGACGAUCAGUAGCCGGUCUGAGAGGAUGAACGGCCACACUGGAACUGAGACACGGUCCAGACUCCUACGGGAGGCAGCAGUGGGGAAUCUUCCGCAAUGGACGAAAGUCUGACGGAGCAACGCCGCGUGAACGAAGAAGGUCUUCGGAUUGUAAAGUUCUGUGAUUCGGGACGAAAGGGUUUGUGGUGAAUAAUCAUAGACAUUGACGGUACCGAAAAAGCAAGCCACGGCUAACUACGUGCCAGCAGCCGCGGUAAUACGUAGGUGGCAAGCGUUGUCCGGAAUUAUUGGGCGUAAAGCGCGCGCAGGCGGUUUCUUAAGUCCAUCUUAAAAGCGUGGGGGCUCAACCCCAUGAGGGGAUGGAAACUGGGAAGCUGGAGUAUCGGAGAGGAAAGUGGAAUUCCUAGUGUAGCGGUGAAAUGCAUAGAGAUUAGGAAAACACCGGUGGCGAAGGCGACUUUCUAGACAAAAAUGACGCUCAAGGCGCAAAGCUUGGGGAGCAAACAGGAUUAAAUAACC
rnacentral:rRNA from 1 species